AUUGAACGCUGGCGGCAGGCCUAACACAUGCAAGUCGAGCGGAUGAAGGGAGCUUGCUCCUGGAUUCAGCGGCGGACGGGUGAGUAAUGCCUAGGAAUCUGCCUGGUAGUGGGGGAUAACGUCCGGAAACGGGCGCUAAUACCGCAUACGUCCUGAGGGAGAAAGUGGGGGAUCUUCGGACCUCACGCUAUCAGAUGAGCCUAGGUCGGAUUAGCUAGUUGGUGGGGUAAAGGCCUACCAAGGCGACGAUCCGUAACUGGUCUGAGAGGAUGAUCAGUCAGACUGGAACUGAGACACGGUCCAGACUCCUACGGGAGGCAGCAGUGGGGAAUAUUGGACAAUGGGCGAAAGCCUGAUCCAGCCAUGCCGCGUGUGUGAAGAAGGUCUUCGGAUUGUAAAGCAAUUUAAGUUGGGAGGAAGGGCAGUAAGUUAAUACCUUGCUGUUUUGACGUUACCAACAGAAUAAGCACCGGCUAACUUCGUG
rnacentral:rRNA from 1 species